rnacentral:piRNA from 1 species
UCAAGGUUACACAGAAAUAUGACAAUG